rnacentral:rRNA from 1 species
AACGAAACGCUGGCGGCAUGCCUAAACACAUGCAAAGUCGAAACGGGAUCCGAGCUUCGGUUCGGUGAGAGUGGCGGACGGGUGAGUAACGCGUGGGAACCUGCCCAGUGGUGGGGGGAUAACUGCGGGAAACUGCAGCUAAUACCGCAUGAGCCCGAGAGGGGAAAGAUUUAUCGCCAUUGGAGGGGCCCGCGUUCGAUUAGGUAGUUGGUGAGGUAAUGGCUCACCAAGCCUACGAUCGAUAGCUGGUCUGAGAGGAUGAUCAGCCACACUGGGACUGAGAUACGGCCCAGACUCCUACGGGAGGCAGCAGUGGGGAAUAUUGGACAAUGGGGGGCAACCCUGAUCCAGCAAUGCCGCGUGAGUGAUGAAGGCCUUCGGGUUGUAAAGCUCUUUUGCCAGGGACGAUGAUGACGGUACCUGGAGAAUAAGCCCCGGGCUAACUUCGUGCCCAGCAGCCGCGGUAA